GCAGCAUAAGAAAGAAGUGUUGAGAGCUGCUCUUAGCCCUUUUGGAGUCCGAAGUCAAAAGGGAACUAGAGGGCUUGACACAUCCUUUACAUCCUGCGUUUACUCUGACCACAGUCCCUCCCUGUUCUCACAAGCGGAGCUCAGCCCUGCUUCCCUUCCUGUUGAUUCCCAGUCAGCUACAUGACUGCCUGAAGUUACAUUGUAGAUGCUGAAAUCACUGCACCUUAAAAACAAAAAGAUUAAGCUGCACUGCAUUCCUG